GGGUUGUGAGGUUAAGCGACUAAGCGUACACGGUGGAUGCCCUGGCAGUCAGAGGCGAUGAAGGGCGUGCUAAUCUGCGAUAAGCGACAGUAAGCCGAUAUGAGGCGUUACAACCGUCGAUACCCGAAUGGGGAAACCCAGUGCAAUCCGUUGCACUAUCAUUAAGUGAAUACAUAGCUUAAUGAGGCGAGCCUGGGGAACUGAAACAUCUAAGUACCCAGAGGAAAAGAAAUCAACCGAGAUUCCCCCAGUAGCGGCGAGCGAACUGGGAACAGCCCAGAACCUGAAUCAGUUUGUGCAUCAGUGGAAGCCUCUGGAAAGUGGCGCGACACAGGGUGAUAGCCCCGUACACGAAGAUGCACUUAUUGU
rnacentral:rRNA from 1 species